AGAGUUUGACACUUGCUCAGAACGAACGCUGGCGGCAGGCUUAAUACAUGCAAGUCGGACGGCUGUAGCAAUACAGCAGUGGCAGACGGGUGAGUAACACGUGGGAACCUACCUAGGGGUACGGAAUAACUCAGGGAAACUUGUGCUAAUACCGUAUACGACCUCAGGGUGAAAGAUUUAUCGCCCCUAGAUGGGCCCGCGCUGGAUUAGCUAGUUGGUGGGGUAAAAGCCUACCAAGGCGACGAUCCAUAGCUGGUCUGAGAGGAUGAUCAGCCACACUGGGACUGAGACACGGCCCAGACUCCUACGGGAGGCAGCAGUAGGGAAUCUUGGACAAUGGGCGAAAGCCUGAUCCAGCCAUGCCGCGUGAGUGAUGAAGGCCUUAGGGUUGUAAAGCUCUUUCGCCAGGGAAGAUAAUGACGGUACCUGGAUAAGAAGCCCCGGCUAACUUCGUGCCAGCAGCCGCGGUAAUACGAAGGGGGCUAGCGUUGUUCGGAAUUACUGGGCGUAAAGCGCACGUAGGCGGCAUUCCAAGUUGGAGGUGAAAUCCCCGGGCUUAACCUGNGAACUGCCUCCAAAACUGGAAAGCUCGAGUCCGAGAGAGGUGAGUGGAAUUUCCAGUGUAGAGGUGAAAUUCGUAGAUAUUGGAAAGAACACCAGUGGCGAAGGCGGCUCACUGGCUCGGUACUGACGCUGAGGUGCGACAGCGUGGGGAGCAACAGGAUUAGAUACCCUGGUAGUCACGCCGUAAACGAUGGGUGCUAGUUGUCAGGCAGCUUGCUGU
rnacentral:rRNA from 1 species